UCUUUCCUUGUCUUGGGGUGAGAGAGCUGCUCAAUGAACGCAUAGUGAGAGUAGCCCUGCUAGCACCAUCACAACACAUAUGCAUCACCUGGAAUUUAUCCCAGAACAUGGUGCAAUUUUUGGAAAC